rnacentral:rRNA from 1 species
CNCACAAGCGGUGGAGCAUGUGGUUUAAUUCGAUGCAACGCGAAAAACCUUACCACUCCUUGACAUGGAAAUUAUACCUAUUCGAAGGGAUAGGGUCGGUUCGGCCGGGUUUCACACAGGUGUUGCAUGGCUGUCGUCAGCUCGUGUCGUGAGAUGUUGGGUUAAGUCCCGCAACGAGCGCAACCCUCAUCCUUAGUUACCAUCAGGUAAUGCUGGGGACUUUAAGGAGACUGCCAGUGAUAAACUGGAGGAAGGUGGGGAUGAUGUCAAGUCAUCAUGGCCCUUAUGGAGUGGGCUACACACGUGCUACAAUGGUGGCUACAAUGGGCUGCAAAGUCGCGAGGCUAAGCCAAUCCCUUAAAAGCCAUCUCAGUUCGGAUUGUACUCUGCAGCUCGAGUGCAUGAAGUUGGAAUCGCUAGUAAUCGUGGAUCAGCACGCCACGGUGAAUACGUUCUCGGGUCUUGUACACACUGCCCGUCACGCCAUGGGAAUUGGUUUCACUCGAAGCUAACGACCUAACCGCAAGGAGGGAGUUAUUUAAAGUGGGAUCGGUGACUGGGGUG